rnacentral:rRNA from 1 species
UAAGGAAUAUUGGUCAAUGGGCGCAAGCCUGAACCAGCCAUGCCGCGUGCAGGAUGAAGGCUCUAUGGGUCGUAAACUGCUUUUAUACGGGAAGAAACCCCUCCACGUGUGGAGGGUUGACGGUACUGUAAGAAUAAGGAUCGGCUAACUCCGUGCCAGCAGCCGCGGUAAUACGGAGGAUCCAAGCGUUAUCCGGAUUUAUUGGGUUUAAAGGGUGCGUAGGCGGACUUGUAAGUCAGUGGUGAAAGCCCGCAGCUCAACUGCGGAACUGCCAUUGAUACUGCUGGUCUUGAGUAUAGUUGAGGUGGGCGGAAUGUGUCAUGUAGCGGUGAAAUGCUUAGAUAUGACACAGAACACCGAUUGCGAAGGCAGCUCGCUAAACUAUAACUGACGCUGAGGCACGAAAGUGUGGGUAGCAAACAGGAUUAGAUACCCGCGUAGUCC